rnacentral:rRNA from 1 species
UACGUAGGGUGCAAGCGUUAAUCGGAAUACUGGGCGUAAAGCGUGCGCAGGCGGUGAUGUAAGACAGGUGUGAAAUCCCCGGGCUUAACCUGGGAACUGCAUUUGUGACUGCAUCGCUGGAGUGCGGCAGAGGGGGAUGGAAUUCCGCGUGUAGCAGUGAAAUGCGUAGAUAUGCGGAGGAACACCGAUGGCGAAGGCAAUCCCCUGGGCC